rnacentral:rRNA from 1 species
GACAGAGGGUGCAAACGUUGCUCGGAAUUACUGGGCGUAAAGGGCGUGUAGGCGGGAAGGCAAGUCGGGCGUGAAAUCCCCAGGCUCAACCUGGGAACUGCACUCGAAACUGCCUUUCUUGAGUGUCGGAGAGGAAAGCGGAAUUCCUGGUGUAGAGGUGAAAUUCGUAGAUAUCAGGAGGAACACCAGUGGCGAAGGCGGCUUUCUGGACGAUAACUGACGCUGAGACGCGAAAAGCGUGGGGAGCAAACAGG